rnacentral:rRNA from 1 species
GCGCAGCAGUCGAGAAUUUUUCUCAAUGGGCGAAAGCCUGAAGGAGCGACGCCGCGUGGGGGAUGAAUGGCUUCGGCCCGUAAACCCCUGUCAUUUGUGAACAGAUUGUUUCACCUAACACUUGAAACAUUGAUAGUAACGGAAGAGGAAGGGACGGCUAACUCUGUGCCAGCAGCCGCGGUAAUACAGAGGUCCCAAGCGUUGUUCGGAUUUACUGGGCGUAAAGGGUGCGUAGGCGGUUGGGUAAGUCUGACGUGAAAUCUCCGGGCCUAACCCGGAAACUGCGUUGGAUACUACCUGACUAGAGGAAUGGAGGGGAGACUGGAAUACUUGGUGUAGCAGUGAAAUGCGUAGAUAUCAAGUGGAACACCAGUGGCGAAGGCGAGUCUCUGGACAUUUCCUGACGCUGAGGCACGAAAGCCAGGGGAGCAAACGGGAUUAGAUACCCCUGUAGU